GACGUCUAUCCGGGAGUUACAGGCACGUCCGCGUCCACCACCGAUAGCUGUCACUCAGCUAACGCUCAGGGCCGACUGAUUCUGUCUCCUUCAGCGCUCCGGCCUUCGCGCAGCCUCUUCUCAGUCGGCCUCCGCUCGUCGGAGCCAGAGCCAUCAUCUCUCUGGGUGCCCCGGAUGUUUGGUGUCGGCUGCCCCCUGUGGAAACCCACGACCCCCGAGAUCUCAAGAGGAGCUGCAGCCUUUCAGCCCCCGUGUUUUAUUUAUUGUGUCCUCCCCCGACGUCUCCUUACUGCUGCCCCUGCACCUUCAACUGGCAUUUGUCUCCCCGCGCACGUCCCUGCCCUCUUCCCAUGCACGCGCCAGACUAGAAGCCGCCGGCGGAGGGAGUAAUGGUCUCCAGCCCUAGCCCUUGGCACCUGGUAGGAGGUCCGCAGGUACUUGCUGAGAGAAGGGAAUGUCCUUGAGUAUGUGUGGCUCCGUCUGGCUGAGGAUGGAGUUUGAGACCGGGAAGAACCUGGCUCCCAGACAAAACCGGAAGCCACCGCACAGCAGAGUAGCACGCGGGCUUGGGGACACUGCAGAGGGGUACGGACUGCCCCCACUGCUCUUCCCUGUUCAUUCUCCGGGAAGUAGCAACCCUCCUGUGCGGACUGAUCUCCUGUAUGCGACUUCUGUGCGCCCCCCAGCCCCCGCCAGCCAUUGCGAGACUCUGGCAGAUCAGUUCACACCGUGCGCGGGUGUCCUCUCUAGGCUUCCGUCCCUGGGAAGCUGGGUCUGGGUCCAGGGAAGACACCGGGUAACUGAAGUCCUCUUCCUCCUCUCCAGUCCUCAAAACCCGUCUCUGCCGACUCAGCCCAAGGGGACCCAGGGUUCAGGGCCUCGGUAUACGUGGGCUUGGGCCUGCUCCCCAGGGAGCCUCCAGCACACACUGGCAUUAGGAUGUUCCCGUGGUGCAUCAGCCCUGCGCCUGGAGUGGCCAGGGGCAGAGUCACCCAGGCCAGGAUGCCGGCGUGUUUCCCUUUAUUCUGGUUGGACCACUUCAGAGGGCCUGGACUCCCAGCCUUGGGCUGCUGAGAGAAGCUGGAAGGCAGAGGGGGACACUCCUGUUCCCUGUUCACCCCGCAGCCACUGCUGCCACCCCUAACUACGGUCUCUGCACUGAGGGCCCCUCUCCGCGUGCUCUCCAGCUUGGGAGGGCUGGAAAGUUUGGAAUUCCCCACCCUGGGAUGAAAGUCUCCCCAACACGAGUCCCGUCGGAACUUCACGCAGCCCUGGGUGUCUGCCACGCUCCUUUGAAGCCUCCCGUGUUCAGCCAAACUAUUUUGCAGCCUCUGUCCGCUGAGAAUGGGUCUGACAGUUCCACCAUCUCCGGCUAUCAUUGUCCUGGUUUUCUUACCAUCUCAUCUCAUGUGCUUGGUUACAUUUUAUUGUAGUCAGGAUAUAGUAUCAACAAAAUUGUUUUAUAGAAACAAUUCGAGGUUUUGGAUGAAA